GCCAACUUAGCUCAGUUGGUAGAGCAGCUGAUUCGUAAUCAGCAGGUCACGAGUUCGAGUCUCGUAGUUGGCUC
rnacentral:tRNA from 1 species